rnacentral:rRNA from 1 species
UACGGGGGGGGCUAGCGUUGCUCGGAAUCACUGGGCGUAAAGCGCACGUAGGCGGCUUUCUAAGUCAGGGGUGAAAUCCUGGAGCUCAACUCCAGAACUGCCUUUGAUACUGGAGAGCUUGAGUCCGGAAGAGGUGAGUGGAACUCCGAGUGUAGAGGUGAAAUUCGUAGAUAUUCGGAAGAACACCAGUGGCGAAGGCGGCUCACUGGUCCGGUACUGACGCUGAUGUGCGAAAGCGUGGGAGCAAACAGG